GGGAUAGCCACUGGAAACGGUGAUUAAUACCGGAUACUCCUUCUUGUUAUAAGACAAGUCGGGAAAGUUUUUCGCUAAGGGAUCAGUCUAUGUUCCAUCAGCUUGUUGGUGAGGUAAUGGCUCACCAAGGCUAUGACGGAUAUCUGGUUUGAGAGGAUGAUCAGACACACUGGAACUGAGACACGGUCCAGACUCCUACGGGAGGCAGCAGUGAGGAAUAUUGCACAAUGGAGGAAACUCUGAUGCAGCAACGCCGCGUGGAGGAUGACGCAUUUCGGUGUGUAAACUCCUUUUAUUAGGGAAGAUAAUGACGGUACCUAAUGAAUAAGCACCGGCUAACUCCGUGCCAGCAGCCGCGGUAAUACGGAGGGUGCAAGCGUUACUCGGAAUCACUGGGCGUAAAGGGUGCGUAGGCUGGCUUUUAAGUCAGAUGUGAAAUCCAAUGGCUCAACCAUUGAACUGCAUUUGAAACUGAAAGCCUAGAGUUCAGAAGGGGCAGAUGGAAUUAGUGGUGUAGGGGUAAAAUCCGUAGAUAUCACUAGGAAUAUCAAAAGCGAAGGCGAUCUGCUGGGAUGAUACUGACGCUG
rnacentral:rRNA from 1 species